rnacentral:lncRNA from 1 species
GGGGAAAAUUGAAAAAGCAAGUAAAAGGCAUUGAGCUCAAUUGUUGUGAAAAAAAGAAAAAUUCAUGAGAAAAAUAAAAGAAAAGAAGAAAAGUAUGAAAAUGAGCUCAAUGAAGAAGUAAAGAAAAGGGAAGAAGUUGGGAAUGAGAGACAUUGGCGAGAGAGUUGUACUUGAAUGUUGAAUAUUUUGAUAGCUCUCUUGACUCAAGGAUUUUGCAUUCUAGAAAAACCAAUUCUUUCUUGUUAGCCCAACCUCUACAAGCCUUGGAAAAGUCCUUUUGAUGACAUUUAUAUGUAAAGAUGUUGAUUGUGUGAGAUGAAUGGCAAUUUUGUUUCAUGUGACUUGUGAGCAAGUGAGAGUUGGAGUGUCACCUUAAACACUUGAGUGAUUGAGUGAAACACUUGCUUGGUAUGAUUUGUUAAUUUUCAUGAGUACAUUUUUGCUUAGUGGAUUGAUC